AUCCACUUGUCCACACUAACCUGAAUGAACCAAACUUACACAUUGCGACCUACGACUACGUGGUUGAUGUUUAUCCAAUGGCUACAACUAUCAAUCUCGGUGCAAUGGAGCCACCAAACUUUUGGAUCAUGGAUACUAAAUUAUAAUAUUGUAAUCAUAAUAGAGUUAUCCAUUUAUAAGCGUAGAGGUUCCAGCACCAAGGAGUUGUUAGAGCUAUGACAAGUUAGGUUAUAGCUCUAGAGAUAGCAUGAUGUUAAGAUGGACUUUCUAAGUUUCCGUUUA